rnacentral:miRNA from 1 species
GACAAAAUCCCAUCCCAUGUCCAAUAUGUUUAUAUCAACAAUAGGAGUUUGUAAUUAUUGAAGUAGUACUUUCGAUAUAAACAUAUUGGACAUGGGAUGGGAUUUUAUU